UCGACGACGUGCGCAGAGCUUGGAUCUCCAGUUUUCAUCUGUCAGCUCUUGCAAAGGCGAGAUGAUCCAUCGUCGGCCUCGCGGCAUUGCCUUGCGGGGCUACUCGGACAGGCGAUUAGGCCUCGGUGAGUUCGGUCGGUGGUGGUGGUGGUGUUGGAAGUCGCCUUUGCUCGAGCUGCCAAUUGAACAUUGGUCCUAUCGUCACAGCUCUCUCGGGGCGUCGA